AUGAACGCUGGCGGCGUGCCUCAUACAUGCCAGUCGAGCGCACAGACGAGGAGCUUGCUCCUCCGACGUUAGCGGCGGACGGGUGAGUAACACGUGGAUAACCUACCUAUAAGACUGGGAUAACUUCGGGAAACCGGAGCUAAUACCGGAUAAUAUAUUGAACCGCAUGGUUCAAUAGUGAAAGACGGUUUUGCUGUCACUUAUAGAUGGAUCCGCGCCGCAUUAGCUAGUUGGUAAGGUAACGGCUUACCAAGGCGACGAUGCGUAGCCGACCUGAGAGGGUGAUCGGCCACACUGGAACUGAGACACGGUCCAGACUCCUACGGGAGGCAGCAGUAGGGAAUCUUCCGCAAUGGGCGAAAGCCUGACGGAGCAACGCCGCGUGAGUGAUGAAGGUCUUCGGAUCGUAAAACUCUGUUAUUAGGGAAGAACAAAUGUGUAAGUAACUAUGCACGUCUUGACGGUACCUAAUCAGAAAGCCACGGCUAACUACGUG
rnacentral:rRNA from 1 species